AGUUUGAUCCUGGCUCAGGAUGAACGCUGGCGGUCUGCUUAACACAUGCAAGUCGAACGGGAUCCUUCGGGAUUUAGUGGCGGACGGGUGAGUAACGCGUGAGAAUCUGCCCUUAGGUUGGGGACAACAGUUGGAAACGACUGCUAAUACCCAAUGUGCCGAGAGGUGAAAGGUUAACUGCCUGGGGAUGAGCUCGCGUCUGAUUAGCUAGUUGGAGUGGUAACGGCACACCAAGGCGACGAUCAGUAGCUGGUCUGAGAGGAUGAUCAGCCACACUGGGACUGAGACACGGCCCAGACUCCUACGGGAGGCAGCAGUGGGGAAUUUUCCGCAAUGGGCGAAAGCCUGACGGAGCAAGACCGCGUGAGGGAGGAAGGCUUAUUGGUUGUAAACCUCUUUUGAUAGGGAAGAACACAAUGACGGUACCUAUCGAAUCAGCAUCGGCUAACUCCGUGCCAGCAGCCGCGGUAAUACGGAGGAUGCAAGCGUUAUCCGGAUUUAUUGGGCGUAAAGCGUCCGUAGGUGGCAAACCAAGUCAGUUGUUAAAGCGUAGAGCUUAACUCUAUAAGGGCAAUUGAAACUGGUUAGCUAGAGUGCGAUAGGGGCAAGGGGAAUUCCCAGUGUAGCGGUGAAAUGCGUAGAUAUUGGGAAGAACAUCGGUGGCGAAGGCGCCUUGCUGGGUCUGCACUGACACUGAGGGACGAAAGCUAGGGGAGCGAAAGGGAUUAGAUACCCCUGUAGUCC
rnacentral:rRNA from 1 species